UCAAGUGAAGAAGCGCAUACGGUGGAUGCCUUGGCAGUCAGAGGCGAUGAAAGACGUGGUAGCCUGCGAAAAGCUUCGGGGAGUCGGCAAACAGACUGUGAUCCGGAGAUGUCUGAAUGGGGGAACCCAGCCAUCAUAAGAUGGUUAUCUUGUACUGAAUACAUAGGUGCAAGAGGCGAACCAGGGGAACUGAAACAUCUAAGUACCCUGAGGAAAAGAAAUCAACCGAGAUUCCCUUAGUAGUGGCGAGCGAACGGGGACCAGCCCUUAAGUUGUAUUGAGAUUAGCGGAACGUUCUGGAAAGGACGGCCAUAGUGGGUGAUAGCCCUGUACGCGAAAAUCCCUUUGCAAUGAAAUCGAGUAGGACGGGGCACGAGAAACCUUGUCUGAAUAUGGGGGGACCAUCCUCCAAGGCUAAAUACUACUGACUGACCGAUAGUGAACCAGUACCGUGAGGGAAAGGCGAAAAGAACCGCGGAGAGCGGAGUGAAAUAGAUCCUGAAACCGUAUGCGUACAAGCAGUGGGAGCCCACUUUGUUGGGUGACUGCGUACCUUUUGUAUAAUGGGUCAGCGACUUAUUUUCAGUGGCGAGCUUAACCGAAUAGGGGAGGCGUAGCGAAAGCGAGUCUUAAUAGGGCGUCUAGUCGCUGGGAAUAGACCCGAAACCGGGCGAUCUAUCCAUGGGCAGGUUGAAGGUUGGGUAACACUAACUGGAGGACCGAACCGACUACCGUUGAAAAGUUAGCGGAUGACCUGUGGAUCGGAGUGAAAGGCUAAUCAAGCUCGGAGAUAGCUGGUUCUCCUCGAAAGCUAUUUAGGUAGCGCCUCAUGUAUCACUGUAGGGGGUAGAGCACUGUUUCGGCUAGGGGGUCAUCCCGACUUACCAAACCGAUGCAAACUCCGAAUACCUACAAGUGCCGAGCAUGGGAGACACACGGCGGGUGCUAACGUCCGUCGUGAAAAGGGAAACAACCCAGACCGUCAGCUAAGGUCCCAAAGUCAUGGUUAAGUGGGAAACGAUGUGGGAAGGCUUAGACAGCUAGGAGGUUGGCUUAGAAGCAGCCACCCUUUAAAGAAAGCGUAAUAGCUCACUAGUCGAGUCGGCCUGCGCGGAAGAUGUAACGGGGCUCAAACCAUGCACCGAAGCUACGGGUAUCAUCUUUUGAUGAUGCGGUAGAGGAGCGUUCUGUAAGCCUGUGAAGGUGAGUUGAGAAGCUUGCUGGAGGUAUCAGAAGUGCGAAUGCUGACAUGAGUAACGACAAUGGGUGUGAAAAACACCCACGCCGAAAGACCAAGGUUUCCUGCGCAACGUUAAUCGACGCAGGGUUAGUCGGUCCCUAAGGCGAGGCUGAAAAGCGUAGUCGAUGGAAAACAGGUUAAUAUUCCUGUACUUCUGGUUAUUGCGAUGGAGGGACGGAGAAGGCUAGGCCAGCCUGGCGUUGGUAGUCCAGGUUUAAGGUGGUAGGCUGAGAUCUUAGGUAAAUCCGGGAUCUUAAGGCCGAGAGCUGAUGACGAGUGUUCUUUUAGAACACGAAGUGGUUGAUGCCAUGCUUCCAAGAAAAGCUUCUAAGCUUCAGGUAACCAGGAACCGUACCCCAAACCGACACAGGUGGUUGGGUAGAGAAUACCAAGGCGCUUGAGAGAACUCGGGUGAAGGAACUAGGCAAAAUGGCACCGUAACUUCGGGAGAAGGUGCGCCGGUGGAGGUGAAGCAUUUACUGCGUAAGCCCCUGCCGGUCGAAGAUACCAGGCCGCUGCGACUGUUUAUUAAAAACACAGCACUCUGCAAACACGAAAGUGGACGUAUAGGGUGUGACGCCUGCCCGGUGCCGGAAGGUUAAUUGAUGGGGUUAGCGCAAGCGAAGCUCUUGAUCGAAGCCCCGGUAAACGGCGGCCGUAACUAUAACGGUCCUAAGGUAGCGAAAUUCCUUGUCGGGUAAGUUCCGACCUGCACGAAUGGCGUAACGAUGGCGGCGCUGUCUCCACCCGAGACUCAGUGAAAUUGAAAUCGCUGUGAAGAUGCAGUGUAUCCGCGGCUAGACGGAAAGACCCCGUGAACCUUUACUAUAGCUUUGCACUGGACUUUGAAUUUGCUUGUGUAGGAUAGGUGGGAGGCUUUGAAGCGUGGACGCCAGUCUGCGUGGAGCCAACCUUGAAAUACCACCCUGGCAACUUUGAGGUUCUAACUCAGGUCCGUUAUCCGGAUCGAGGACAGUGUAUGGUGGGUAGUUUGACUGGGGCGGUCUCCUCCUAAAGAGUAACGGAGGAGUACGAAGGUGCGCUCAGACCGGUCGGAAAUCGGUCGUAGAGUAUAAAGGCAAAAGCGCGCUUGACUGCGAGACAGACACGUCGAGCAGGUACGAAAGUAGGUCUUAGUGAUCCGGUGGUUCUGUAUGGAAGGGCCAUCGCUCAACGGAUAAAAGGUACUCCGGGGAUAACAGGCUGAUACCGCCCAAGAGUUCAUAUCGACGGCGGUGUUUGGCACCUCGAUGUCGGCUCAUCACAUCCUGGGGCUGAAGCCGGUCCCAAGGGUAUGGCUGUUCGCCAUUUAAAGUGGUACGCGAGCUGGGUUUAGAACGUCGUGAGACAGUUCGGUCCCUAUCUGCCGUGGACGUUUGAGAUUUGAGAGGGGCUGCUCCUAGUACGAGAGGACCGGAGUGGACGAACCUCUGGUGUUCCGGUUGUCACGCCAGUGGCAUUGCCGGGUAGCUAUGUUCGGAAAAGAUAACCGCUGAAAGCAUCUAAGCGGGAAACUUGCCUCAAGAUGAGAUCUCACUGGAACCUUGAGUUCCCUAAAGGGCCGUCGAAGACUACGACGUUGAUAGGUUGGGUGUGUAAGCGCUGUGAGGCGUUGAGCUAACCAAUACUAAUUGCCCGUGAGGCUUGACCAU
rnacentral:rRNA from 3 species